rnacentral:rRNA from 1 species
GAAACGACUGCUAAGACUGGAUAGGAAAAGUAAAGGCAUCUUUACUUUUUUAAAAGACCUUCUUUGAAGGUAUGCUUAAGGAGGGGCUUGCGACACAUUAGUUAGUUGGCAGGGUAAAGGCCUACCAAGACUAUGAUGUGUAGCUGGACUGAGAGGUUGAACAGCCACAUUGGGACUGAAACACGGCCCAAACUCCUACGGGGGGCAGCAGUAGGGAAUUUUCGGCAAUGGAGGAAACUCUGACCGAGCAACGCCGCGUGAACGGUGAAGUACCUCGGUAUGUAAAGUUCUUUUAUUAAGGAAGAAAAAAGAGUGGAAAAACUCCCUUGACAGUACUUAAUGAAUAAGCCCCGGCUAAUUAUGUGCCAGCAGCCGCGGUAAUACAUAAGGGGCGAGCGUUAUCCAGAAUUAUUGGGCGUAAAGGGUGCGUAGGCGGUUUAAUAAGUCUAUAGUUUAAUUUCAGUGCUUAACGCUGUUGUGCUAUAGAAACUGUUUUACUAGAGUGAGUUAGAGGCGAGCGGAAUUCCAUGUGUAGCGGUAAAAUGCGUAAAUAUAUGGAGGAACACCAGAGGCGUAGGCGGCUUGCUGGGACUUUACUGACGCUGAGGCACGAAAGCGCGGGGAGCAAACAGGAUUAGAUACCCUGGUAGUCCACGCCGUAAACGAUGAGUACUAAGUGUCGGGUAAAACCGGUACUGAAGUUAACACAUUAAGUACUCCGCCUGAGUAGUACGUACGCAAGUAUGAAACUUAAAGGAAUUGACGGGAUUCCGCACAAGCGGUGGAUCAUGUUGUUUAAUUCGAAGAUACACGAAAAACCUUACCAGGUCUUGACAUUUUCUUGCGAAGUUAUAGAAAUAUAAUGGAGGUUAUCAGGAAAACAGGUGGUGCAUGGUUGUCGUCAGCUCGUGUCGUGAGAUGUUAGGUUAAGUCCUAAAACGAGCGCAACCCUUGUCGUUAAUUGCCAGCAUGUAAUGAUGGGGACUUUAACGAGACUGCCAAUGAAAAAUUGGAGGAAGGUGGGGAUUACGUCAAAUCAUCAUGCCCCUUAUGAUCUGGGCUACAAACGUGAUACAAUGGUUGAUACAAAGAGUAGCUGAAACGCGAGUUAUUAGCCAAUCUCACAAAAUCAAUCUCAGUUCGGAUUGAAGUCUGCAACUCGACUUCAUGAAGUUGGAAUCGCUAGUAAUCGCGAAUCAGCAUGUCGCGGUGAAUACGUUCACGGGGUUUGUACACACCGCCCGUCA